UUGUGAUUGUUUGUGGUAUGUGUGCGCGCGCACCUAUGAAAGGGGAGAAUGUGUUGAAUGGUAUUUAUCCACAACUCCAACUACCCCUUUUCACUGCAGCGCAGAAAAUUGGUGAUGUACGCAUUUUUAUGUGCAUACAUAACGGUGCAGCCACAAUUUCAUAUCAACUGUCCAGCCCAUGAGUCCUGCUGGAUGGUUACGAUACCGGUGUUGUCUUUAUGACCAGUAAUAUUCAAUGGCUCGUCUGUUUUGACCAAUCAUAGUUCAUAGUGCAUUCUGGAGCGGGACCCAAUCAUGGCAUCGGUACGAGGCAAAGCGCAUGCAACCGUUCUUGUGGAAAGAACACUUUCCACUAGUCAAAAAAACAAUAAAUGACAAGAAACACGUAUUGUCGUACAUGUUGUGUGUUCCCCGACAAAUGCCGGUCAAUUUAAAAGGGAAUGAACAACUACCGAAAACAUGCUUUCAAGUCCCUGGAGCGUGGGGCGUGUAUUGUGGCCCAAUGGGUAUAGUCAGUCUGUGAGUACGGAUGGAGAAACCAUAUGGACUUGGCUUGUCAACAGUGUCAUAUUAACUACGCCUGCCUUCGUGCUUACUAGCAGUGACACACAAGAAGACUGCGAACUAACUUGUGGGACAACCCCAGGAUUGAAUGUGUAUUGCACCACAUUAAUGUAACCUUAAAUAUAUGAACUCAAUUAUUUUAUUACCAAUAAUUACUAUUAUUGCAUUAUUAUUAAUUCACCUCAAAUACAAGUAUCUUCAUGAAAAGAUGAUAAUGAUAUUUAUAGUAAUAUUUUGGUAAGUAUUCAUUAAAAAGUAAUAAUGUACUUUGCAUCAUAUUUGUGUUAACUGCAAUUGCUUGUAUCAGCUCAUGUCUCACAUCACAUGCAAAACUGUGGUAUAAAUCAAUAUUCUGAUUAUUUGAUAUUUACAUAAAGUACUCCUGUACAAUACAACUGUAUUGUAUUUUUUUUUAAUCCAGUUCAAGCCAGUAAAAAUCAGUCCAGGUCAGUAGAUUUCAGACCAACUGGCCCAAAGAGUUAGCGUUGAGCCCUGCCUACCAACAUUUCAGAGAUGUUUCUCUUAAAAACCUUCACCCUGGAUAAAGACAGUGGGAGCAAGAUGCACUCCGUUGCAGAGGAGCUGUUCAGGAUCACAUCCACUGAUGACCGUGGCUGAGAUCUGCACACAUCUCACAGUACUUCCAAUUGUGCUCAUCUCAGAUGCAAAGUUAGGCUGAUGAAGCGGAAGACAAGAAAGCAGCAAUUUCUGUCCAGGCAGACAUGCACUGUGACUAACCACCCGCUUUAACCUAUACCACACCAAGCCUGUAUAAAGACUAGUGGGACAGUCCCCUGACCGGUCUGCAAGUCUGCUCAUGAUGAAGAGAGAAGACUGGUCAGAGGAGCACAGUAACACGGCACAGACCGUCAGUGGGCGCACAUGACCCACACACCGGAACAUAUUUAAACAUUGGGAAUUUGAAUGUCUUCAUACCUUGUGUUUAGUUGCAUGUUCAAACAAUCAGUAAAUGUACCUUUAGAGCUUAUUCAUAGUUCAUGCAUGUACACACCCUUUUGCCCGUAUGGAAGAAGGCCCCCUUUUAACAGCACCUGUAAAUACAAUGAAUGUCAUGUGUUUUUGUUGGUCUUCAUACCCCAUGAACAUUUUUUAUUGAUUGAAUGUUUGAUUUUUUGUCUACAUCCAAAACCCUGUUAGGACAAAGUGAAAAUGUUUUGUUGUGCCAAUUUACUGGAAAUCUGAAUAAGUGGUUAAACAAAAGCCACUGCUGAUUAAAAAACCUGAUCCAGA